ensembl:lncRNA
AUUAAAUUUAUUGACUGAUGAUUUAGAUGAAGAAAUGGAAGAAGAAGAAGAAGAAGAAGAAGAAGAAGAGAAAAAAAAAGAAAAAAAAAAAAAAAAAAUAAUAAUAAUAAUAAUAAUAACACUGGAAUCAUGACAAAAAAAAGAAAACGACCUAAACAGUUACGCAAGAUAAUUUUUAUGUUAGAACAUAUAUUAAAAAAUAUAAAAAAUCAAAAAAUAGAGCAAAUAAUUGAGAAUUUGUAUUUUUUAAUUUUAUCUUUAAUUGCUUGCUCAAAAAAAAGAAGGGCCAUUUUAAAGAUGUUUAAAUUAAAAGGGGGAGUAAAAAUGUUAAAAAAUAAUGAACAUGUUUAUAAUGCAACUAGUGACGACACAAAGAAAGAGAGUAAUAAUAUGGAUGUUGUCGAUUGCGAAGGGGUGGAAAGUGCAGGAGUGGACCAUAUAGAAGUGGAAAGUGCAGGAGUGGACCAUAUCGAAGUGGAAAAUGCAGGAGUGGACCAUAUCGAAGUGGAAAAUGCAGGAGUGGACCAUAUCGAAGUGAAAAAUGCAGGAGUAGACCAUAUCGAAGUGGAAAGUGCAGGAGUGGACCAUAUAGAAGUGGAAAGUGCAGGAGUGGAAAGUGUACGAGUGGAAUGUUCGCACAUGCCAGACCAAACCCAAAUCGAAGCCAACAGAAAGACUAUACAAAUUUAUCUAAAUGAUAUAAACACCAUCGAAAAACUAAUAAAUAACAUUUUUUUAUCUUUUAAAGGAAAAAUUUUAUCUUUUAAAAGAAAAAAAACACAAAUUAAUAUGACAGAUAAAGAUAAAGUGGGUGCAUUAUUAGAUAUGUAUAGUUUCGAAAUAAUAAAAAUAUUAAUAAAAAAAAAAAAAAAAAACAUUAUCGACACUUCAUUAAUAUGUUUACAAUAUUACAACAUACUUGAGCAUUUAGUUUUUAAUAAAAAUUUUAUAAUAGUUACAUAUAUAUUUCAGUUUUUACAGAUAAUAAAACACAUAAAUCCAUUAAAAUCAUCUUAUUCAAAAUUUUUAAAUUCGUUUUGUACUAGCUAUUUUGUUAAGUAUUUAAAAUUGGAUAUGCUUUUUUUUUAUAGACCUUUUUCCAAAUUAUUUCCACGUAUUAUUAAUAAGGUAAUUACAGUAUUUGAUAUAAAUGAUUAUAUUAAAAACAUGAAUUUAAAAGAAAAAAGUGAGGAUGAAAAUCUACAAAAAAAACAAAAUAGAGAUAAGGUGAAAAGUAUGAUUAUAGAAGAAAUAAAAAAACGACAUCAUCAUAAAAAUGUAAUCAUAGACGAAGACCUUUUUACAAAAUAUAUAAACCUUAAUAAUAAUGGUAGUGACGCAAAAGAAAAUGACGAUAAUCAUGAUGGCACAGAUUUGUUAGCAGUUUUUAAUUUCAAUGAAUUGUCACGUCUUAUUCAAACUAUAGGUACAUAUUUAGACAAAUUAUUAAAAACAAAUAAAUUUCAUUUGUUUAAUAGACAAGUUAAUAUAAAUAUGUUAAUUUUAUUAAAAAAAGUAGGGCCCAUAAUAAACCAAAAAGAUGAUAAACAAAGUAUAACUAACAAUUUAACGAAGUUUCGAUCCGAAUGUAAGAACAUUUAUAUGAAUAAUAUUAUUUUAUUUCAAAAAAAUUUGGAAGAAAAAAUAAAAACUCAAGAAAUAAAUAUUAAUAUAAAUAAUUUUUAUAAGAAGUUAAAAAACGUUUUUCAAAGUUUCAAUUUAAAGAUGCAUACUAUUCAAGAACGUAAAAAUCAAACUGAAGAAAAAAAAAUUUAUCAAAAAAUUAAUAAUGUAGAUAUGAGCAAAUUUGCUAAAAGGCCUUUUCCAAACAAUGUGGAAGCACAGAAAAGAGUAAAAUUGAAUCACGAGUACAGACCAGAUAAUAUAAAAGCUGAGGGAGAGAGUGUGAAGAUGUGUGGGAAGAGUAGUCAUAGAAUAGGUACGGUAAACACAUUUGAACAUAAGGUAAAAACGUCUAAGCAUAAGAUAAAAAAGUCUAAGCAUAAGAUAAAAAAGUCUAAGCAUAAGGCGAUUAAAAAAUGAGCACUCAACAAAAUGGUGCUUAUAUAUUUACAUGUAUGUAUAUAUUAUUUUUAUUUUUUAAAUUUAUAUAAAAAAAUAAU